AGCAGCCGCUAUGGCCCUGGCAUCUGGUCUUGUCCGUCAACAACACAGUGCUGUUUAACACAGGGCGACUGCGGGUCACCACCAGUGUCGAGGGCUCUUGUGAAGGCCGUCUUAUUUUAGAACUGGAAAGGAUGUGGACACCACCAAGUUCAAGGCCCUCAUUUAGAAGCCGGCCAUUCAAGGCCCAGUGCUCCCGAGAGACCUCGCCCGGGGCACAGAGUCACUCAUCCAGCUGGCAGCUCAGUGUCCACUGAGUGACCCGCUGGCACUGCUCGCUUCCUGCCCAGGCUACAUCCUGCACAGGGACGGGGACAUUUCUUCCCAGCAGAGGGGACGGCUCCUGGUGGGGACCGGAUGAGGCGCUUCUCUAGCAAACGCACCAGUCUUCCAAGGACACCGUGGUUUUAAGGAUCCGGCCUCUGUCUGGAGGCUGUCUGCAGGAAACGGAACCCCUCUGCACCCACACAAGCAGACGGACACUGCCCUGGGGAGUCUGUGGUGCACCUCCUUCCUGACUCUGGGGAGGGGCCGCCUCAGAAAGGCCGGUGGUUUCAGCAAGAAAGAGGACAUCUGUCCACCCAGGACACCUGUGAGGAGGGUCCUGGAUGAUCUCCACAUCUCAAGACCUUCAGCUUGACCACAUCUGCCAAGACUCUGUCUCCGAGUCACAACAUUCUCCAGUUCCAAGAAUCAGCCUCACAGAUUCAUCCCGACCCAGCGACACGGGGCGCUAAGAUUGUGACCACCCCGGGGCGUAAAGAGGCCAGCCCACGCGGAUCCCCUAGCAGCCCCACACUGAGCCUGCUCAUUGAAAACUGAUGGCAUCACCAGUUCACCUAGUGACGCUGAGGGCUUUGGUCUCCACCGGGACAGCCGCCCCACUCCGGUAGCUGGUGUCUGCCCAGGGACGAAUAGGCAGGUGUACCGAGAAGGACAUGUCCUGAGCGUCCCCCUUCCCCACGGUGGGCCUUUGAUCUCAGGCCCUUCCCACCUGCCAUCAUGACCCUUCGUGGGUCUCUGUCCCCUGAGUUCAGUCGAGGAAGCUGCGAUGACAAGGAAGAGUUCUGCACUUGGGUUCCUGGGCUCCUCCCAGGAUACGAAGAAGGGUCUUCGGGCUGGGAAAUUUGAAUAAAGAGAUGUUCUCCUUCUAAUUUAA